rnacentral:rRNA from 1 species
ACAAGCAGCGGAGCGUGUGGUUUAAUUCGAUGUUACACGAAGAACCUUACCAGGGUUUGACAUGCAAGUGGUAGGAAGCCGAAAGGUGACGACCCUUCGGGGAGCUUGCACAGGUGCUGCAUGGUUGUCGUCAGCUCGUGCCGUGAGGUGUCGGGUUAAGUCCCAUAACGAGCGCAACCCUUACCGUUAGUUACCAUCAGGUUAAGCUGGGGACUCUAGCGGGACUGCCACGUAAGGUGAGAGGAAGUGGGGAUGACGUCAAAUCAGCACGGCCCUUAUGUCCAGGGCUACACACGUGUUACAAUGGCCAGUACAAAGGGCAGCUACCGGGUGACCGGAUGCUAAUCUCUAAAGCUGGUCUCAGUUCGGAUCGAAGUCUGCAACCCGACUUCGUGAAGCUGGAUUCGCUAGUAAUCGCGCAUCAGCCAUGGCGCGGUGAAUACGUUCCCGGGCCUU